UACGUAGGGGGCAAGCGUUGUCCGGAAUCAUUGGGCGUAAAGAGCGCGUAGGCGGUCCGGUAAGUCCGCUCUGAAAGCCCGGGGCUCAACCCCGGGAGGCGGGCGGAUACUGUCGGGCUAGAGUCCGGAAGAGGCGAGUGGAAUUCCUGGUGUAGCGGUGAAAUGCGCAGAUAUCAGGAGGAACACCGAUGGCGAAGGCAGCUCGCUGGGACGGUACUGACGCUGAGGAGCGAAAGCGUGGGGAGCGAACAGG
rnacentral:rRNA from 1 species